rnacentral:lncRNA from 1 species
ACGACCAUAAAAAAAUUGAGAAAACGAAAUGUAGUCGAUGGUUCGAAAGAAACACUCACCGAAGGAAGAGCACUCAGUUGAAAAUAAAAAUAAAAAGAAAGAAUAUUAAAGAAAAACUUAGCAAUUGAAAAAGAAAAGAAUAAAACACAGUGAAAAGAAUAUUAACAUUGGCUUUGAACCCAAAACCACUUGUUUUCCCUUUUGUUUGUAUUU